AGAAGACAUGGUGGAUGCUGUUGUCAAUUUACCGAGUGGUUUACAUUUAACAUCAGAUCCUAAUUGAGAGAACAGUCCUCGUACGGAUUGAUGAAGUGUGUGGAGUGCUAAGCCAGGCCUCGAUUUGUGACCUUCGUGAGUUGUGCCGUCAAAGAAUCUCUGAAAGUCGUAGAGAUGUUGAUGUUAAGUUUUUGUGUUUAAAAACUGUUCUGUAAUCCUGUUUCGCAGUUUACCGGUUCAAUUUUCAAAUCGAGCGGUUUCUGUUUUUCACUGUUAUUUAUAGUCGAGUCUGAGUGCUUCACUGAUUAUCCUUAAGGACAUUCUUCUAGCCGCGGUUAUUGUUUGUGUAGAUUCAACAAACCAAGCAGUUCAAUGUGGUGAAAUCCUUCGGAGGUGAGCUCCGACAAUGCACAACGCUUCGGACAGUGCAGAAAGUUAUCGGGAUAACAACAAUAAAGAACCAACGAAUAUUUGCGUCCCAUUAUGAAAUAGGAUACAUAUUUCGUGAUUGUGAGAAAUAUUCAGAUUUAAAAGUGUACAGUGAAUAAUCAGCGCGAAAGUUUCGAGUUGGACAGCUGCAUUCACCUGUUGCACUUCCAGUAAUUUUGAGUUAUGUUCGACUAAGAGCGGUCUCUUUACUGUAAAAAUUCUCACAACAAUAAUUUCCGUUAAGCGAUUGACGCGAAUUAAAUUCUAGAAUUGAAUAGUGCGCUCCAAAUGUGACUCCGAUAUUUCUGGGUGUUGGAUGGAAAUUCCAAAUGUCGACUUCUCUGAUGGAGCUGAGUGUUUCAUGCUUGUUGCAAAUUGAUUCUCUUCAUAACGCGAUUCAAGCAACAAUGUCAGUAACACAUGGAAAUUUUAAGGAUUGCCGCGAUCCAUAUAAAACCGUAGGAUCAUCCAAAUAUAAAGAUAUAUGCCUUUAGUUUUUUAGAAAAUAUUCUUAAAUUAAGGUAGCAGCUAAGCGCUUUGUUAAAUUUUUACAUUCUGUGAAGGAUUAACACAUUUUGGAGCACGCUUACUGGUCAAAAGGUUCCUUUUAUAUCCAUAAAUAGAUUUUGGUAACUGAAAGGGUAGUUCUAAUUAUAAAGUCGAUUUGUAAUGAUGGAAAUAUAGUGCGGCCAAAUUAUGAUACAUAAGAAAAUUUAGUUUUUAAAGCUUUAAGUUUGUAAUGAUACGAGUGAGAAUAGAAGAUCAGGUCGAUCAUCCUGAGUGGCCGAUAACGACCCAGAGGGCAGAGCUAUCCCAAAAAUCUAAACAAAUUGGCUAAAU